AUUGAACGCUGGCGGCAGGCUUAACACAUGCAAGUCGAGCGGAGAGAGGUAGCUUGCUACUGAUCUUAGCGGCGGACGGGUGAGUAAUGCUUAGGAAUCUGCCUAUUAGUGGGGGACAACAUUUCGAAAGGAAUGCUAAUACCGCAUACGUCCUACGGGAGAAAGCAGGGGAUCUUCGGACCUUGCGCUAAUAGAUGAGCCUAAGUCGGAUUAGCUAGUUGGUGGGGUAAAGGCCUACCAAGGCGACGAUCGGUAGCGGGUCUGAGAGGAUGAACCGCCACACUGGGACUGAGACACGGCCCAGACUCCUACGGGAGGCAGCAGUGGGGAAUAUUGGACAAUGGGCGCAAGCCUGAUCCAGCCAUGCCGCGUGUGUGAAGAAGGCCUUAUGGUUGUAAAGCACUUUAAGCGAGGAGGAGGCUACUUUAGUUAAUACCUAGAGAUAGUGGACGUUACUCGCAGAAUAAGCACCGGCUAACUCUGUGCCAGCAGCCGCCCGCCGUA
rnacentral:rRNA from 1 species